rnacentral:rRNA from 1 species
UACGUAGGUGGCAAGCGUUAUCCGGAUUUACUGGGCGUAAAGGGAGCGCAGGCGGACAUUUAAGUGAGAUGUGAAAUACCCGGGCUCAACCUGGGUGCUGCAUUUCAAACUGGAAGUCUAGAGUGCAGGAGAGGAGAAUGGAAUUCCUAGUGUAGCGGUGAAAUGCGUAGAGAUUAGGAAGAACACCAGUGGCGAAGGCGAUUCUCUGGGCUGUUACUGACGCUGAGGCUCGAAAGCGUGGGGAGCAAACAGG